rnacentral:rRNA from 11 species
GCCCAGAUUGCCUAAAUAACCUAAAAACACCAAAUCCAGUCUGAUCAUGGAAGCUAAGCAAGGUCAACCCUGGUUAGUACUUGGAUGGCAAAUUGCCAAUGAAUAUUAAGUACUUUGGGCU